rnacentral:rRNA from 1 species
AUUGAACGCUGGCGGCAGGCCUAACACAUGCAAGUCGAGCGGAUGAAGGGAGCUUGCUCCUGGAUUCAGCGGCGGACGGGUGAGUAAUGCCUAGGAAUCUGCCUGGUAGUGGGGGAUAACGUCCGGAAACGGGCGCUAAUACCGCAUACGUCCUGAGGGAGAAAGUGGGGGAUCUUCGGACCUCACGCUAUCAGAUGAGCCUAGGUCGGAUUAGCUAGUUGGUGGGGUAAAGGCCUACCAAGGCGACGAUCCGUAACUGGUCUGAGAGGAUGAUCAGUCACACUGGAGCUGAGACACGGUCAAGACUCCUACGGGAGGCAGCAGUGGGGAAUAUUGGACAGUGGGCGAAAGCCUGAUCCAGCCAUGCCGCGUGCGUGAAGAAGGUCUUCGGAUUGUAAAGCACUUUAAGUUGGGAGGAAGGGCAGUAAGUUAAUACCUUGCUGUUUUGACGUUACCGACAGAAUAAGCACCGGCUAACUACGUG